rnacentral:rRNA from 1 species
GUGGCGAACGGGUGAGUAACACGUGAGUAACCUGCCCUUGACUCUGGGAUAAGCACUGGAAACGGUGUCUAAUACCGGAUACGACCUUUGAAGGCAUCUUCUAAAGGUGGAAAGAAUUUCGGUCAAGGAUGGACUCGCGGCCUAUCAGCUAGUUGGUGAGGUAACGGCCCACCAAGGCGACGACGGGUAGCCGGCCUGAGAGGGUGACCGGCCACACUGGGACUGAGACACGGCCCAGACUCCUACGGGAGGCAGCAGUGGGGAAUAUUGCACAAUGGGCGCAAGCCUGAUGCAGCAACGCCGCGUGAGGGACGACGGCCUUCGGGUUGUAAACCUCUUUUAGUAGGGAAGAAGCGAAAGUGACGGUACCUGCAGAAAAAGCACCGGCUAACUACGUGCCAGCAGCCGCGGUAAUACGUAGGGUGCAAGCGUUAUCCGGAAUUAUUGGGCGUAAAGAGCUCGUAGGUGGUUUGUCGCGUCUGCUGUGAAAACUGGAGGCUCAACCUCCAGCCUGCAGUGGGUACGGGCAGACUAGAGUGCGGUAGGGGAGAUUGGAAUUCCUGGUGUAGCGGUGGAAUGCGCAGAUAUCAGGAGGAACACCAAUGGCGAAGGCAGAUCUCUGGGCCGUAACUGACGCUGAGGAGCGAA